CAUGAUUUUGGUUUACUUUUAUUAGAGAGCUAUUCAACAAAAGGAACUGGUGAAGAAAGAAAUUACAUUGCAUGAAAAGCUUAACCAUCCUUCCAUUGUCAAGCUGAAAGAUUCGUUUGAAGAUAAGAACAAUUAUUAUAUUGUUUUAGAAUAUUGUGACUCAGGAACACUGGACAAAUACCUAAAAAAAAACAAUAAUAUCCUGUGUGAAAAUGAAGUUUAUGAAAUUAUGAAGCAAGUAGUUGAUGGGCUAAAGUAUUUGCAUAGCAGGAAAAUUAUACAUCGAGAUCUUUCUCUUAAAAAUAUAUUGCUAACAAAAGACUAUAAAACUAAAGAGCUGAAAGUGG